rnacentral:rRNA from 1 species
UACGUAGGUGGCGAGCGUUGUCCGGAUUUACUGGGCGUAAAGAGCGCGCAGGCGGCUGGUCAAGUCCGAUGUGAAAGCUCCCGGCUUAACUGGGAAAUUGCAUCGGAAACUGAUCGGCUGGAAGGUGGGAGAGGGUAGCGGAAUUCCCGGUGUAGUGGUGAAAUGCGUAGAUAUCGGGAGGAACACCAGUGGCGAAGGCGACUACCUGGCCUGUUUCUUGACGCUGAGGCGCGAAAGCUAGGGGAGCAAACGGG